rnacentral:antisense_RNA from 1 species
GGAGCUACAGUACACAAGCACAGGUUCACAUUUAUGAAGCAGCCAAUAAGAAUUCCCAGCCUGAGAGGACCUUGGAACCAGAAGGAAUUGGAGGAGAUUUAAACAAGCUGACCCAAGGAAAGCACAAGAUCUUUCUAUGCAUUGAAGAUCACCAAAUCAAAGAUAAAAGUGCUCGACCAUUAUGGCCUAUGGCAAACUCGGGCUGGCUGAAGCAUCCUUCUCUUCCAUUUAGAACCCUGGUGAGGCCCCUUAGACCACCACUGGGCUGUCCUCCUCCCUCCUCACAGACAGAGUUCUGGGCUGGGCCAUGGAGGUGUCUGUCAACACGGCCAUCCGGUAGUAGUCCUCGUUCUAUAGAAAACCAGCUGUUCCCUGUGACACGACUCCAUUCCUGCAGCUGCCUGCUAUUCAGCUGGGCUGACGGACAGCAGAGCACAGGGUUGGAAGACCACCCUCUCAGACAGUUUGAAAUCUCUAAAAGGCCGCCAUGUCCCGGCUUUAAAAAGAGGUGAAGCACAUCUCUCAGCACAUGCUUCUGCAUAGGUGAGGCCUCAGCGAGGCGUCCUGGCCCCUGAGUGGACAUGCUCCCCUCAGCCGUGCCUCAGCUCCAGGGCACCAUCACGAGAGGCUUCGUUCAGGGUCUCCUGCCUGUGGACCACCUCUUACGUCUCCUCCUCAACUUCUGGUGUCGUCUCAACCAACUCAGACCUUCAGAUCAGAGGCCUUUGGUUUACCAAGAAGCUCACUGAGAGGUGACACAAAUGGCCAAGGAACAUGAAAAGACGGUCAGUGCCCUUGCAAAUGGAAGCAGGCAAUCAUUUUUCACCUACAAGGCUGAUAAAGAUGAAAUGUUCUGAUAAUACAGGAAGAGUAUAAGGAAACUGUCACUCGAUGGACUCCAGGUGAAAUAUAACUGAUACAGCUGCCUUGGAGGGAAAAGGUAUCUUUCAAAAUUUAAAUGACAGGAAUGGCAGCAUUAUGGGUGGGAGAUAAAGAAUCUGGGUUUCUUUCAGGGGUGAUGAAAAUGUUCUAAAACGGAUUGUGGUGACAGUUUUCCAGAACUCGGAAUAUACUGAAAACCACCACAUUGUAUACUUUAAAUGGGUGGGUUGUAUGGUAUGUGAAUUAUAUCUCAAUAAAAUUUUUACCAAAAGA